rnacentral:rRNA from 1 species
GAUGAACGCUAGCGGCAGGCCUAAUACAUGCAAGCCGAACGGCAAGCUUUGUAGCAAUACAGAGCCUAGAGUGGCGUAAGGGUGCGUAACACGUAUGGAAUCUGCCCUCAACAGGAGGAUAGCUCCCCGAAAGGGGAAUUAACACUCCAUAGGAUAUAGGUGUGGCAUCACAUUUAUAUUAAACCGCAAGGGGUUGAGGAUGAGCAUGCGCAUGAUUAGUUAGUUGGCGGGGUAACGGCCACCAAGACGAUGAUCAUUAGGGGAACUGAGAGGUUGA